CACAUACGGGCACAGUUGGCUGCCAGUCCCAGCACCAAUGGCUCCACCGCCUUCGAGGUGCGCAAAUAUGUGCUGCCUGGCUUUGAGGUGCGCAUCCGCCCCGAGCGUGGCUUCGUUGUGCUGAGUGACCCCGAACCAGCCCCACUGCGCAUCCACCUGCACGUCCAAUUCCCAGAUGGAGCGCCAGUGUGGGGCCGUGCACAGCUGCGUGUGGGGCUGCGGGAUGCUGGGGGCCGGGGGGGUCGCUUCCUGCGGGG